CUCCGCGGUAGAACGGGAGGGGGACGCUUCUAGCGUGCUGAAUUCUUGUGUUUCAGUCUGUCAACCUUCUUUCGUUCUGCCACCAUC
rnacentral:antisense_RNA from 1 species